rnacentral:rRNA from 1 species
AGAGUUUGAUCCUGGCUCAGAUUGAACGCUGGCGGCAUGCUUUACACAUGCAAGUCGGACGGCAGCGGGGUAGUGCUUGCACUACUGCCGGCGAGUGGCGAACGGGUGAGUAAUAUAUCGGAACGUACCGAGUAAUGGGGGAUAACUAAUCGAAAGAUUAGCUAAUACCGCAUAUUCUCUGAGGAGGAAAGCAGGGGACCUUCGGGCCUUGCGUUAUUCGAGCGGCCGAUAUCUGAUUAGCUAGUUGGUGGGGUAAAGGCCUACCAAGGCGACGAUCAGUAGCGGGUCUGAGAGGAUGAUCCGCCACACUGGGACUGAGACACGGCCCAGACUCCUACGGGAGGCAGCAGUGGGGAAUUUUGGACAAUGGGCGCAAGCCUGAUCCAGCCAUGCCGCGUGUCUGAAGAAGGCCUUCGGGUUGUAAAGGACUUUUGUUAGGGAAGAAAAGGGAGCGGUUAAUACCCGUUUCUGCUGACGGUACCUAAAGAAUAAGCACCGGCUAACUACGUGCCAGCAGCCGCGGUAAUACGUAGGGUGCGAGCGUUAAUCGGAAUUACUGGGCGUAAAGCGAGCGCAGACGGUUACUUAAGCAGGAUGUGAAAUCCCCGGGCUCAACCUGGGAACUGCGUUCUGAACUGGGUAGCUAGAGUAUGUCAGAGGGGGGUAGAAUUCCACGUGUAGCAGUGAAAUGCGUAGAGAUGUGGAGGAAUACCGAUGGCGAAGGCAGCCCCCUGGGAUAAUACUGACGUUCAUGCUCGAAAGCGUGGGUAGCAAACAGGAUUAGAUACCCUGGUAGUCCACGCCCUAAACGAUGUCGAUUAGCUGUUGGGCAGCUUGACUGCUUAGUAGCGUAGCUAACGCGUGAAAUCGACCGCCUGGGGAGUACGGUCGCAAGAUUAAAACUCAAAGGAAUUGACGGGGACC